rnacentral:rRNA from 1 species
CAUCCAGACUCCUACGGGAGGCAGCAGUGGGGAAUAUUGCACAAUGGGGGGAACCCUGAUGCAGCGACGCCGCGUGAGUGAAGAAGUAUUUCGGUAUGUAAAGCUCUAUCAGCAGGGAAGAAAAUGACGGUACCUGACUAAGAAGCCCCGGCUAACUACGUGCCAGCAGCCGCGGUAAUACGUAGGGGGCAAGCGUUAUCCGGAUUUACUGGGUGUAAAGGGAGCGUAGACGGUUAUGCAAGUCUGAAGUGAAAGCCAAGGCUCAACCAUGGGACUGCUUUGGAAACUGUAAAACUGGAGUGCAGGAGAGGUAAGCGGAAUUCCUAGUGUAGCGGUGAAAUGCGUAGAUAUUAGGAGGAACACCAGUGGCGAAGGCGGCUUACUGGACUGUAACUGACGUUGAGGCUCGAAGGCGUGGGGAGCAAACAGGAUUAGAUACCCCGGUAU